AUGACAUUGUCAAUUUUAAAAGAUGAGGUAUGAAAGUGUCAUGACACUAAUAGUUGAGGUAGUUUUUUGUACUUUACCCAAAAAAAAUUAUGGAACUAAUAUAAAGCUUAACCGAUGAAGUGGAAAUACACGUGGAGGUGCUGGAGGGAGAGUCUUGCGAACUCGCUUUUUAGGCGAGUGCUGCUAGCAUUUCUCCAAUAUUUUUACCCGGGCUGCUACUAUUCGUUUCAGAAAAAGCCAGUCGUCAAAAUCCGACCCGGUAAGAAGGGUCUCCAAAGCUUAAAACCCUAGGACCCGCCAUCAACCAAAAUCAGAGAGAGUGCGGGUAAGUAUUCGACCCAAAAAAGUGAUGUCAGUGUCAGUGCGGCGAAAUACGAGCUGAGACGGAACCUGUACAAGGCCCUCUGCAAGGACCCAAGCCUUCCAAGCGAUCUGCGCGAGGAGAACCGCUUCAAGCUCUCCAAGCUGCCCCGGAACAGCUCCUUCACGCGCUUCAGGAACCGCUGCAUCUUCUCCGGCCGCGCACGCGCCGUCUACGAGACCUUCCGUAUGUCCCGUAUCGUUUUCCGUUCUCUUGCCUCCAAAAGGCAUGGUCAAUGGCGUUAAGAAAGCGUCUUGGUAGCCUCCCAAAACGAUUAUAGGAUUUGUUUCCCCAGAAGUUUGGGGUAAAAUUGGAAGAAGAGUGGAGUCAAAGAAGGGAAAUGAGAAUGAAGAGAACAGCAGCAGCAAGGAAGGAAUAUUAACAGCAGCAACAAGGACGUGUCACUUAUGAUAAAAGCAAGUACAUUCGAAGGAUGCAUAUGCAUAUUAGUUUUCGUUUUUCUUUAGAGAAUGACGGUUUGGUCCGUUCACCUAGUGAACAUCAGUAAAAGUUAUCAUGCAAAGUCAUGAGCCUGUCAGUGAGUUAUAUGGGUGGGCAUGGUUCGUCCGGUUUACUAUAAAAAAACAGAAAACAAAAACCUGAAGAAUUUGCAUUGGUUUGGUUGUAGAUCGUCAGUGAUAACUUCUUUGGAUUUCUGUGAA